rnacentral:misc_RNA from 1 species
GGGUAAAUCAUGAUUCCUGUGGAGUCUCGAAUCUUGUGGGAGUGUCAAUUCCCAUCAUACAGCAAAGUCCUGAUAUCAGUAUUAUGAGAAGAACAAUAGCAACAAAAAUCCCUUCCAAAAGUGUUGAUUUGAUUUGGCAUACUCCAUCGCAAUGGGUGGAAUUAUCUGAGGCGUUGCUAGAACUCUCUGCAAGAAACCUACUCAGUGGAAGGUGAGAGUAUUGUAGCGACCUGUAUGGAUCAGACACAUAGAGAACCGAGUAUUUGGCACCGGUCUGCUCCAGAAACUUGACAACAUCCGUCAAGGCUUCCCCUUCUGACAGGGCAUUGUCUGAUUCCUCAGCAUCAGGACUGCAGAAGACGAUCAUAUCAGUCUGUCUGCUUUCCCCUGCUUCCAAUCUUGAACCCACAAA